GACGAACGCUGGCGGCGUGCCUAAUACAUGCAAGUUGAGCGAUGAAGAUUGGUGCUUGCACCAAUUUGAAGAGCAGCGAACGGGUGAGUAACGCGUGGGGAAUCUGCCUUUGAGCGGGGGACAACAUUUGGAAACGAAUGCUAAUACCGCAUAACAACUUUAAACAUAAGUUUUAAGUUUGAAAGAUGCAAUUGCAUCACUCAAAGAUGAUCCCGCGUUGUAUUAGCUAGUUGGUGAGGUAAAGGCUCACCAAGGCGAUGAUACAUAGCCGACCUGAGAGGGUGAUCGGCCACAUUGGGACUGAGACACGGCCCAAACUCCUACGGGAGGCAGCAGUAGGGAAUCUUCGGCAAUGGACGAAAGUCUGACCGAGCAACGCCGCGUGAGGGAAGAAGGUUUUCGGAUCGUAAAACUCUGUUGGUAGAGAAGAACGUUGGUGGGAGUGGAAAGCUCAUCAAGUGACGGUAACUACCCAGAAAGGGACGGCUAACUACGUG
rnacentral:rRNA from 1 species